CCAAUUACAUUUCGGGGUGAAUUAUAUGUUUCUCAAAAUCGACGAGCUGUUCUGCUGUUUAUUAGUUCUGCACCUUGAAAUGCACACAUGCACCAUUUCCUUGGUCUAUGUACGCGUAGGAAUGUAUAUUACAUAUACAAAGUUAUCAAUACUUCUUCGUGAGUAGUUCGUGUCUUCACGGUAAACACUGAAAUAACGAGGUCAAGGAAAGUAAUCUACCAACCAGAUUCAGGAUGACGUAAAUAAAACUGCGUAGUUUGUGGUGUCCUCAUUGUGGUUUUAUAGGACGAUUAACUUGUUCUGAUAAUUAACACUGUCUUACACCUUGACAGACAGACAUUAGACGCUUCAUUCAGAAUUAUCAGAUCACCGUCCUCCGCUGAGAUCACACGAUGUGUAGAAAACUGUGUGUACAUUAACCAUGUACGUUUAGCGACAAUAAAAGGGAAGACCUGUGAUAGGAAGCAUGAUUUCGUAACAAAGAAAAUAAUUUAUUGUUUAAGAUUUAUUGUAAAUAUAUAUUAAAGUUGAUGAGAAGGUUGAUGAACCAGUUAAUCUUUCUAACCAGUCUAUGCUGGACCAGGAUGACGAAAAAGGAAUGUUUUACCGUGAUAGGGAGUGGUGACACCGCUCAGACACACAAAUGUUUGUCAAUAAAUGUCUGUGGUACCAAAGGAUCUAUUAUGGUGUAAGAGUACACAGUUAAGAGGUUAAUACAGACAUCAAAUGGGAAUUGGAAGCGGUGUGAGUAGUUCAUACUCGACUGUGAUUAAUGAUAAAAAAUGAUCAUUUCAAAGUUCACGGAUUUUAACAAUAUUCAAAAGGAUUAUAUAUUAUUUUCUGAUGGAUACUUAGUAAUCCACGCAGGUAAGGCUCUGCAUCUUAAAUCUGUACAGAAUUACAGGCCUGCAAAAAUACAGAUCAAUAUUUUAUUGGAUAUAUAUCCAGCUUCCUUUUACAUCAAACUACACACCUAGUGACAAUGAUAGAAAUAAGGUCCCAUGUAGCAGCAUUUUCAAAACAGAAAUUGUACAACAGUUUACGUUUGUUUUAAAAUUUAUUGUUAUAAGUGCGCUAUCGUUAUACAGGAGAAACAGCUUAACUCUGAACAUCCUUUUACGGAGUAUAUAAACCCACAUCAAACGGGCAUCGUCUUACAAAACUAAAUACAAAAACAAAAAUAUGAAAAUAUAUUUAUUAGACCAUUGUUGUGGUACAUGUAGAUCUUCCGGUUAUAAAUGACAAAUAUAUUAAUUACCUGUAUAUUGACGACUUAAUUAAUGUAUCUGGUUUGAACGUACAAUAAUAUGACGACAUAAUCAUACACUAUUACCGUAAACAUAUUUUAAACAGUAAAUUCUAAAUCGGUAUUACCUGCUGUGGUAAUAAUAAUACAUUAACAUAAAACAUGUGAUUGGUGAGUAUGUGAAGGACUAUAUAUUCUAUAUGUAGCCUUUGAGUGGCGAAACAAACAUGAAAUUGUUUAUUUUAUGGUUAUUUAUUGAAGAAGAGAUACUUUAAGAAGUU